rnacentral:rRNA from 1 species
CGGGAUUGCCUCAGUAACGGCGAGUGAAGCGGCAAGAGCUCAAAUUUGAAAGCUGGCUCCUUCGGGGUCCGCAUUGUAAUUUGCAGAGGAUGCUUCGGGUGCGGCCCCUGUCUAAGUGCCCUGGAACGGGCCGUCAGAGAGGGUGAGAAUCCCGUCUGGGAUGGGGUGUCCGCGCCCGUGUGAAGCUCCUUCGACGAGUCGAGUUGUUUGGGAAUGCAGCUCUAAAUGGGUGGUAAAUUUCAUCUAAAGCUAAAUACUGGCCGGAGACCGAUAGCGCACAAGUAGAGUGAUCGAAAGAUGAAAAGCACUUUGAAAAGAGAGUUAAAAAGCACGUGAAAUUGUUGAAAGGGAAGCGCUUGCGACCAGACUCGCCUCCAGGGUUCAGCCGGCAUUCGUGCCGGUGUACUUCCCUGGGGGCGGGCCAGCGUCGGUUUGGGCGGCCGGUCAAAGGCUCCCGGAAUGUAGUGCCGUCCGGGGCACCUUAUAGCCGGGAGUGCAAUGCGGCCAGCCUGGACCGAGGAACGCGCUUCGGCACGGACGCUGGCAUAAUGGUCGUAAACGACCCGUCUUGAGACACGGACCCAGGAGUCUAACAUCUACGCGAGUGUUCGGGUGUCAAACCCGUACGUCGCAGUGAAAGCGAACGGAGGUGGGAGCCCCCUCGUGGGGUCGCACCAUCGACCGAUCCUGAUGUCUUCGGAUGGAUUUGAGUAAGAGUCGUAAAUGUUGGGGACCCGAAAGAUGGGUGAACUAUGCCUGAAUAGGGCGAAGCCAGAGGAAACUCUGGUGGAGGUCUCGCAGCGGUUCUGACGUGCAAAUCGAUCGUCAAAUUGGGUAUAGGGGCGAAA